AUUGAACGCUGGCGGCAUGCUUUACACAUGCCAGUCGAACGGUAACAGGCCUUCGGGUGCUGACGAGUGGCGAACGGGUGAGUAAUGCAUCGGAACGUACCCAGAGGUGGGGGAUAACGCAGCGAAAGCUGUGCUAAUACCGCAUGUGAUCUGAGGAUGAAAGCGGGGGACCGAGCAGCAAUGUUUGGCCUCGCGCCUUUGGAGCGGCCGAUGUCGGAUUAGCUAGUUGGUGGGGUAAAGGCCUACCAAGGCGACGAUCCGUAGCUGGUCUGAGAGGACGACCAGCCACACUGGAACUGAGACACGGCCCAGACUCCUACGGGAGGCAGCAGUGGGGAAUUUUGGACAAUGGGCGCAAGCCUGAUCCAGCAAUGCCGCGUGCGGGAAGAAGGCCUUCGGGUUGUAAACCGCUUUUGGCAGGAACGAAACGGUGUCCGCUAAUACCGGGCGCUAAUGACGGUACCUGCAGAAUAAGCACCGGCUAACUACGUG
rnacentral:rRNA from 1 species